rnacentral:tRNA from 1 species
GCCGGGGUGGCGGAACGGCAGACGCAGGGGAUUUAAAAUCCCGUGCUCCGAAAGGAGCGUGAGGGUUCGAGUCCCUCCCCCGGCA